rnacentral:rRNA from 1 species
CAGUCGCCGCGGGAAUACGAAGGGGGCUAGCGUUGUUCGGAUUUACUGGGCGUAAAGGGUGCGUAGGCGGAUUGUUAAGUCAGGGGUGAAAUGCCGAGGCUCAACCUCGGAACUGCCUUUGAUACUGGCGAUCUUGAGUCCGGGAGAGGUGGGUGGAACUGCGAGUGUAGAGGUGAAAUUCGUAGAUAUUCGCAAGAACACCGGUGGCGAAGGCGGCCCACUGGCCCGGAACUGACGCUGAGGCACGACAGCGUGGGGAGCAAACAGGAUUAGAUACCCGUGUAGUCCCUGUCUCUUAUAC